rfam:Dipodomys ordii contig_45327, whole genome shotgun sequence.
GGAUGUGAGGGUGAUCUGGCUGCACAUCUGUCACCCACUGGUCACCAGGGCCGAUUUGGCUGAUCUGGUGGCUAGGUGCUGUCCCUUCCUUCCUGACGCUCCAUGUGCAUCGGUCCCCAAGCUGUGUGCUCGGAAAGGAUGGCCACCCGACAGAGAGAGAAGGACGAGUCUUGUCCAGGUGCAUAAGCCGCUGCGCUCCCCGCCAGAUCCUCCAAGCAAGCUCUCAAGGCAAGUUUUUCUUUGACAAUUCCGGGGUUGAGUUCAGGGCCCCACACCUGCCAGGCAGACACUUAUGCC